rnacentral:rRNA from 1 species
GAAGAGACGCAUUUAUUAGAUAAAAAGCCAAUGCAUGCUUUUACAGUAUGGAAAUUGGUGAUUUAUAAUAACUUAGCAAAUCGCAAAGUGAAAACAGGCGAUAAAUCAUUCAAGUUUCUGACCUAUCAGCUUUCGACGGUAUGGUAUUGGCUUACCGUGGCAGUGACGGUUAACGGGGGAUUAGGGUUCGAUUCCGGAGAGGGAGCCUGAGAAACGGCUACCACAUCUAAGGAAGGCAGCAGGCGCGCAAAUUACCCAAUUCUAACAGUUUGAGAGAGGUAGUAACAAGAAAUAACAAUACAAGGCAAUUAAAAUGCUUUGUAAUUGGAAUGAUAGAAAUUUAAACCCUUUUUAAAGUAUCAAUUGGAGGGCAAGUCUGGUGCCAGCAGCCGCGGUAAUUCCAGCUCCAAUAGCGUAUAUUAAAAUUGUUGCAGUUAAAAAGCUCGUAGUUGAAGUUCUGCUAAAAGUAACCGGUCUGCUUUUAAUAAAAGUGGUAUCUUGGUGUGUAUUUAGCAAUGAUGUCCUUUGAAGUGUUUUUUACUUUAUUGUAAUAAAGCAUAUUCAGGACUUUUACUUUGAGAAAAUUAGAGUGUUUCUAG